CAGGAGCAGCAGACUGCCAAGUCGAAUCAUCAUGCACCACUUCAUCACGAUACAAAUCCCUAUAUGACCUCUCAUAACCAUUGGUCGUUUCAACAAAUGCUUUUCGUGUUGCCACAUUCGAGACUACUCCAUUUCUUCCAUAGCCUCCUCUGAACCCGAGCUCAUUGUCUCCAAUUGCAUAACCAUUAUUAGUAUAGCCAGGAG
rnacentral:misc_RNA from 1 species